CAAUAGCGUAUAUUUAAGUUGUUGCGGUUAAAAAGCUCGUAGUUGGAUUUUGGGUCGGGGGCACCGGUCCGCCGUUCCGGUGUGCACUGGUGGCCCCUUCCUUUCUGCCGGGGACGUGCGUCGCACUUAAUUGGGUGGCGUUCGGAGUCGGCGUUGUUACUUUGAAAAAAUUAGAGUGUUCAAAGCAAGCCAUCGCUCUGAAUACAUUAGCAUGGAAUAACAUGAUAGGACUCUGGUCUUAUUUUGUUGGUUUCCGAGACUGGAGUAAUGAUUAAGAGGGACAGUCGGGGGCAUCCGUAUUUCAUUGUCAGAGGUGAAAUUCUUGGAUUUAUGAAAGACGAACUUCUGCGAAAGCAUUUGCCAAGGAUGUUUUCAUUAA
rnacentral:rRNA from 1 species